GAUGAACGCUGGCGGCGUGCCUAAUACAUGCAAGUCGAGCGAACAGACGAGGAGCUUGCUCCUCUGACGUUAGCGGCGGACGGGUGAGUAACACGUGGAUAACCUACCUAUAAGACUGGGAUAACUUCGGGAAACCGGAGCUAAUACCGGAUAAUAUAUUGAACCGCAUGGUUCAAUAGUGAAAGACGGUUUUGCUGUCACUUAUAGAUGGAUCCGCGCCGCAUUAGCUAGUUGGUAAGGUAACGGCUUACCAAGGCAACGAUGCGUAGCCGACCUGAGAGGGUGAUCGGCCACACUGGGACUGAGACACGGUCCAGACUCCUACGGGAGGCAGCAGUAGGGAAUCUUCCGCAAUGGGCGAAAGCUUGACGGAGCAACGCCGCGUGAGUGAUGAAGGUCUUCGGAUCGUAAAACUCUGUUAUUAGGGAAGAACAAAUGUGUAAGUAACUAUGCACGUCUUGACGGUACCUAAUCAGAAAGCCACGGCUAACUACGUG
rnacentral:rRNA from 1 species